CGAUGCAAGGAUAGCUAGCUGCACACGCACACAUGUAUCUCAGUCGACCAGUCUGCCGAGCAAGGAAGGAGUUUUGAAAGCAGGGGCAGUGCCAGAGGGCUAGCUAGGCCUAGGAGAGUUGGUUCCAGACCCGCGGGUGGGCGUGGGCCAUGUUCAACUCGAUGCUGGCACGAGCGUACUCGUAGAAGGUCGAUUGCCCAUCCGAGCUGACUAGCAAGGAUUGGUCUCAGCGGCGCUAGCGAGCUGGCCCCGAAAGGUGGUGGUGACUGCCAGCAUUGACGUCCUUGGUUGUCAAAGCAACCAUGACUACGGCAAAGGAGCAACCUACCAUGGAUAGUCCUUGGAAAAGCAAGGAGUUCUCUCACUGGAUGCCCCACCUGCAAGAAGCGCUCAGCUGCAGGACAAUUCGUACAGCAUGCUUUUCUAAGGAACUGAUUUCUGAAGCUCAGCUGAUGGAGCUGCGGGCUAUAGAAGACCCAGAAAAACACGAGCUCUUGCUGGAUAUGCUAAGAUGUGGUACAGCUGAGUCAUUUCACAUAUUUUGUGAUACUAGAGAGGUUUUGCAUUCCGAAUUUCGGAAUUAUUUUCGGAAUGUGGCGGCAGCAGUCGAAAAAGUAGUCGAACUUUCGGAAGUGUGGUGGCGAAAGUGCAUGGUUUUCCGAAAAUAGAUUUUCGGCUCUUUCAUGUUUGGGAGUGCAUAUUUGAAUACAAAAAAGUGUAUUUUUCAUGUUUGUAUUUUUGCUUUCUGCUGCUCUCGAUUAUUUGAAAAAAUUUCCACGUAUGUAGUUUUGAUUUUUGCUGGUUUUGCUGCUCUCGCUGAUCUCGCCAUGUUGACUAAUCUUCUCACACUUCAUCACACUCUAUCUUCCUUUGCCCUGGAGCCUACUAACAGUACAAGACAGUAGUUCGCCAACCUCGUCUUCAGCUGUUGGAUCACUUGGUCCACCAUCAGUCCGUCCUCGUCUUCGAACCGCACCCAAAUUCAGUUUGACCUGCGCACAUGGAUUUGAUCCU